rnacentral:lncRNA from 1 species
AUGAGUCCCACAAAUGCUCCACAAGCCCAGCUCCGAGCGCACAUGAGCCCUCCCUGGCGCUCUGAGAAGAGCUGGAGGAGCCAAGAGGAGCCUGUACAUGCCCCCAGCUCAGAGAGGGGCCGAGCUGCCUGGCUUGGGGGGAGCACAGGGCAAGCACCAGAGAGGAAGAGCCGAGGGGACUCACUGUACCCCGCAGGCCUUGGGAAAGGCUUGGAUAACAGCAGGCUGAGUCGGGCAGCACCACCACUGCGGUCCUUCAGUCCUGGGACACAUACGGAGAGCACGUGGAGAAGCCAAAGGGAGAUUGCCCCUCCAGUGCAGGUAGCAGAGAGGCAACGGGGGAGCCCAGGGAAGCUGCUGCAGCUCCGGGCACCUGGGAAGCCAUCGGAAUGUGGCUGGCAGAGCCUCCGGGAAAAGCUGCCAGCCUCCCACCCUGGAAAGGGCACUGGCAGUGACUGGAAAGGCCAAGGCAAGCCCUUGCACCCUGCGAGCCCAACACAAGCACUGGAGCAGGGCUGGAGGGGUCGGGGGGAUCCCCACCAAGCACAGGCAUGGCAGAAGGACUGGAAGCGCCAAGAGAAGCCCGUGUGCCAUGCGGACUUGAUGCGCCAGCUGGAAAAGGACUGGAAAAGCCCCACUAAACGUCCUGAUGUAAGACUACGGCCAGAUGACAGCUGGAAAAGGCCUGAGAGUCCAGCACAGCAGCUGGAGGAUGACUGGAAAGGCCCUGAGCACACCAGAAACACAAACAACCCAGAGAAGCCAUUGGAAAGCAACUGGGAGAACAAGAGGCUUCUCAUUUACGAUGUGAGUAAGGCAGGAGCCAAGGUGAUUGGGACCCUGGCAGGAAUAAAACUGGCAAGCACAGAGUGGGUGGGUCCCUUGGAUUGCAAUUCUGCACAUCCCAGCUUCCCUGGAUCUUCUGCUACUCCAGGGGAGCCAAGCUGCCAGCCUGGCACUGGGAAAAGGGAGGAUGCUUCCCACCCUGGCCCACACUGGGAGGCUGCCGCUCGCAUCUGCGAAACCAAGGCAUGGACUAACCCCCAUGGCUUCAGCUCCUGCUUUCCUUCUCUGCAGCCGCAGCUGUGUAGAGAUGCCUUCCCACCACAAAGCAGCAUUGGAUCCUUGGCAAGCCUGCAGCCACGUUCAAAUGACAGUGAGAAGUGCAACAAGGUAGGGGCCUGGACCUGGGAAUGGAGGUCACCGCUGGCAGCAUCUGGGUCUCCAGCACUUGAUUUGAGGCUUAGCUUGGUGCUGCCUUCCUGUGACCUCUUGGGUAUCAGCAUUGCUAAUACCUUCCUUCCCUUUGUCCUUCACCCAAUUCUCAAGUGGGAAAAAACAGGGGCGGAGAGCCUUUAUUUUUUAAAGCCAGAGAGGGGCAAGCAGUAG